AGGAUGAAUGCUGGCGGCGUGCCUAAUACAUGCAAGUCGAGCGGUAAGGCCCUUUGGGGUACACGAGCGGCGGACGGCUGAGUAACGCGUGGGAACAUGCCCCAAAGUGAGGGAUAAGCAUCGGAAACGGUGUCUAAUACCGCAUAUGGUCUUCGGAUUAAAGGAUUUAUCCGCUUUGGGAGUGGCCCGCGUACGAUUAGGUUGUUGGUGAGGUAAUAGCUCACCAAGCCUACGAUCGUUAACUGGUCUGAGAGGAUGAUCAGUCAGACUGGAACUGAGACACGGUCCAGACUCCUACGGGAGGCAGCAGUAAGGAAUCUUCCACAAUGGGC
rnacentral:rRNA from 1 species